rnacentral:rRNA from 1 species
UACGUAGGAUGCGAGCGUUAUCCGGAUUUAUUGGGUUUAAAGGGUGCGUAGGCGGGAUGCCAAGUCAGCGGUAAAAAUGCGGUGCUCAACGCCGUCGAGCCGUUGAAACUGGCGUUCUUGAGUGGGCGAGAAGUAUGCGGAAUGCGUGGUGUAGUGGUGAAAUGCAUAGAUAUCACGCAGAACUCCGAUUGCGAAGGCAGCAUACCGGCGCCCUACUGACGCUGAGGCACGAAAGCGUGGGUAUCGAACAGG